GAGCCUGUAGCUCAGCUGGUAGAGCACUUGACUUUUAAUCAAGGUGUCCCGGGUUCGAAUCCCGGCAGGCUCACCA
rnacentral:tRNA from 9 species